UCCUUAGAUGUUCUGGGCCGCACGCGCGCUACACUGAUGCAUUCAACAAGCCUAGCCUUGACCGAGAGGUCCGGGUAAUCUUUGAAACUGCAUCGUGAUGGGGCUAGAUUAUUGCAAUUAUUAAUCUUCAACGAGGAAUGCCUAGUAAGCGUGAUUCAUCAAAUCGCGUUGAUUACGUCCCUGCCCUUUGUACACACCGCCCGUCGCUCCUACCGAUUGAAUGUGUUGGUGAGGAGCUCGGAUUGGCAGCAGUUGGUGGUUCGCCACCGGCUAUUGCUGAGAAGUCCUCCAAACCGCCCCAUUUAGAGGAAGGAGAAGUCGUAACA
rnacentral:rRNA from 1 species